AGACCUUCGGGUCUAGCGGCGGACGGGUGAGUAACGCGUGGGAACGUGCCCUUCUCUACGGAAUAGCCCCGGGAAACUGGGAGUAAUACCGUAUACGCCCUUUGGGGGAAAGAUUUAUCGGAGAAGGAUCGGCCCGCGUUGGAUUAGGUAGUUGGUGGGGUAAUGGCCCACCAAGCCGACGAUCCAUAGCUGGUUUGAGAGGAUGAUCAGCCACACUGGGACUGAGACACGGCCCAGACUCCUACGGGAGGCAGCAGUGGGGAAUCUUAGACAAUGGGGGCAACCCUGAUCUAGCCAUGCCGCGUGAGUGAUGAAGGCCUUAGGGUUGUAAAGCUCUUUCAGCUGGGAAGAUAAUGACGGUACCAGCAGAAGAAGCCCCGGCUAACUCCGUGCCAGCAGCCGCGGUAAUACGGAGGGGGCUAGCGUUGUUCGGAAUUACUGGGC
rnacentral:rRNA from 1 species